rnacentral:rRNA from 7 species
GGGUGAGUAACGCGUAAGUAAUCUGUCCUGAUAUCUGGAAUAACACUCCGAAAGGUGUGCUAAUACCGGAUACGCUGAGAAAUCAGGAAAGGUGGCCUCUUCAUGAAAGCUACUGUAUCAGGAGGAGCUUGCGUACCAUUAGCUAGUUGGUGGGGUAAUGGCCUACCAAGGCAACGAUGGUUAGCGGGUCUGAGAGGAUGAUCCGCCACACUGGAACUGGAACACGGACCAGACUCCUACGGGAGGCAGCAGUGAGGAAUAUUGCGCAAUGGGGGCAACCCUGACGCAGCGACGCCGCGUGGAUGAUGAAGGCCUUCGGGUCGUAAAAUCCUGUCAGAUGGAAAGAAAUGUCAUAUGCCUAAUAUGUGUAUGAUUUGACGGUACCAUCAAAGGAAGCACCGGCUAACUCCGUGCCAGCAGCCGCGGUAAUACGGAGGGUGCAAGCGUUGUUCGGAAUUACUGGGCGUAAAGCGCGCGUAGGCGGCUUUUUAAGUCAGAUGUGAAAGUCCACGGCUCAACCGUGGAAGUGCAUUUGAUACUGGGAAGCUUGAGUACUGGAGGGGAUGGUGGAAUUCCCGGUGUAGAGGUGAAAUUCGUAGAUAUCGGGAGGAAUACCGGUGGCGAAGGCGACCAUCUGGCCAGAUACUGACGCUGAGGUGCGAAAGCGUG